GGACCGGUAGCUCAGUUGGCAGAGCAGCGGACUUUUAAUCCGAAGGUCGGGAGUUCGAGACUCCCCCGGUCCACCA
rnacentral:tRNA from 1 species